rnacentral:tRNA from 1 species
UCCGUGGUAGUCCAGUGGCCAAGACUCUGUGCUCCCAACGCAGGAGCCCUGGGUUCGAUCCCUGGUCCGGGAA